ensembl:lncRNA
CCUAACAAUUCCCUCCAAAGACCUCAUGUGAGGCAGGGCAAGGGAGGUGUCCACGCCCAGUCCAGAGACACUGCGGCCAGGGUGCGUGUGGGCGCACAGCAGGGGAAAGAGGGCACCGGCUGGCCUGAGAGGGGUGAGGAGGUGGUCUGUGUAGGGCGGGGGAUGGCCCAGUAGGGGGUCAGAGCCUGAGUAGUGAGGCAGGACAGCCUGGCAUGGUGUCGGAUCAGAGGAAGAGGACACAGCGGAGGGGCUGCCCAGUGUGGGUAUGCAACCUGAGCAGGGUGAAGGCGGCAUCCACAAGGAGGGCGCAAAGGGGAUCCCCUUGGGAGGGUUGGUGGCACGAGCUGUCAGAGCCCAGACAAGGAGAGGGGCAUUAAGCAGGAGCAGCAUCCUGGCAUGUGCCCAGCUGAGAGGAGGGCAUCUGAGCAGGGUGGGGCUGUGGGGCCGACACGGAAGAUGGGUUAGGUGGAGAGCCUGGUCUAACAGGUCGCUAUAUAUGGGAAGCCGGCUCUCCCUGUCUGGGGAGGAAAUUACAAAUAUGGAAAAGGAGGAGACUAGAAUGGACCUGCCCUGUUUGUUGGAACUGGAGGAACUAUGUCUGGGAACUCAAACUUUUUGGGAAACUUGCCAUCAGGUGGGGCAUGUCAGCUGGAGGCAGAUGGCUGCAUUCCCAAGGAAAGAGGAGAGAGGAGGAAGAAAGCUGGGAACCAACGUGGAAAAACGGGCAAGAACCACAGCCAAACGAUAUCCCAGGAACAGGCCACGGCUGCCCAGGACACGUCUUCCACCCGCCCCGCCACUGGUGGAUUUGGACUCCUGCCCAUGCCACCAGGGCCCCUGUGACCACUGCUCUGAUUUUGAUCCUUCUGAGAGGGCCACAGUUUCAGUGGAGAACUGCGCUAGCCCUGGAGUAAGGGCUGUUCCAGACCCAUCCAGACAAAGCCGAAAAACGAGUCUUGACAGGAUAAAACUGAUGUACAAAAAAAUGCAGCUAACCGCCAAAGCCAAACUCAGUAAUCUUUAAAGGAAGACAACAAAAUCCAGACUCUCAACAAGGUACUAUCACAAUGUCCAACAUCCAAGCAAAAAUGAUUAGAGAUGCGAUAAAGCAGGAAAAUGUGAAUCAUAACCAGAAGAAAAGUUAGCCAAUAAAGAGCCCCAUGGAAUUCAUGGGGCAAAGUGGAGGUACCCUCUGUCAUUAUGUAUUUUCCCAUCGGUAGACGGUUAGUUCCCCUGAAGCAGCGUUAACAUUAAAAAGGAGUUCUUGGAAGCAAAAGAGAGAGAGCCACAGGCAUAGGGGCCAUCCAGAACCCAAGUGUCCAUCAAGACGGCCAGUAGGUGCACAAUGUGGACGGUCCUAGAGCCGGGCACUGGGACCCAGAGUUGUGGGCUGCACAACUACAGCCCUGAGGGGUUCAGCCUGGGUGAAGAUAGAUAAGAGCACAGCACAGAUGGCAGAUGCCAUGAGAGGCACAGCAAAGGCUCUUGGGCACCAGAGGGUGAGAGUUAUGGAAGUCUUCGUGGAGGAGGUUCCUUUUGAAUUGAGCUUUAAAAGAUGGUUGGAUGUCAACUGCAUCUCAAUAAAAAUUUGUAAAAAAUAAGAAUAAAAAUAAAAGAUGGUUGGGAAAUAAAUAAAACAGUUUUUGGAAUCACCCAUAACAUCAUCCAUUGCCCAAAAGUCACGGCUGUUGGUGUUCUGGUAAAUUUCUUCUCUUUGAAUUCUCUUUUUAUUUUCUCCUAAAUGUAGCUCGAAC